GUCUGCGUUCCGUGUCCAGGCAGGUGCAGGCGCCGCGGGGCCGGAUCCUCCGCGCGGCCGAGUCCAUCUCCUGGGAAAUGGGGCGGACAGUGUUUCCUUGACCGACUAUUGUGAGCGCCCUCUCUCUCCGGCGGAGCGGAGACCAUGGCCCCCACUCAGGGCCCCCGGGCCCCGCUGGAAUUCGGAGGGCCCCUGGGCGCCGCGGCUCUGCUACUGCUGCUGCCCGCCACCAUGUUCCACCUGCUCCUGGCGGCCCGUUCGGGCCCCGCGCGCCUGCUGGGUCCACCCGCGUCCCUGCCCGGGCUGGAGGCGCUGUGGAGCCCACGGGCGCUGCUGCUGUGGCUCGCCUGGCUCGGCCUGCAGGCGGCGCUCUACCUACUGCCGGCGCGCAAGGCUGCCACUUCUGUGGAGACUAUUGCCUUGUUCCCUCUCCCCCAGGUCCUCAUCAACCUGGCCCUGUUGAUGAAGGAGGCAGAGCUUCAGGGCAGUCCCUCACUGGCCAUGUGGCUGGUCAAUGGCUUCCAGUUGCUCUACGUGGGUGAUGCCCUCUGGCACGAGGUGAGGCUGGACUGGACGAGGGUGG
rnacentral:sRNA from 1 species